UACGUAGGGUGCAAGCGUUAAUCGGAAUUACUGGGCGUAAAGCGUGCGCAGGCGGUGUCGUAAGCCAGGCGUGAAAUCCCCGGGCUUAACCUGGGAAUUGCGUUUGGGACUGCGAUGCUUGAGUGUGGCAGAGGGAGGUGGAAUUCCACGUGUAGCAGUGAAAUGCGUAGAGAUGUGGAGGAACACCGAUGGCGAAGGCAGCCUCCUGGGCCAGCACUGACGCUCAUGCACGAAAGCGUGGGGAGCAAACAGG
rnacentral:rRNA from 1 species